rnacentral:tRNA from 1 species
GGGAAAGUGGCUCAGUGGUAGAGUGCCUGCCUUGCAUGCAUGAAGCCCUGGGUUCGAUUCCUUAGCACCA